GGGUUGUGAGGUUAAGCGACUAAGCGUACACGGUGGAUGCCCUGGCAGUCAGAGGCGAUGAAGGACGUGCUAAUCUGCGAUAAGCGUCGGUAAGGUGAUAUGAACCGUUAUAACCGGCGAUUUCCGAAUGGGGAAACCCAGUGUGAUUCGUCACACUAUCAUUAACUGAAUCCAUAGGUUAAUGAGGCGAACCGGGGGAACUGAAACAUCUAAGUACCCCGAGGAAAAGAAAUCAACCGAGAUUCCCCCAGUAGCGGCGAGCGAACGGGGAGCAGCCCAGAGCCUGAAUCAGUGUGUGUGUUAGUGGAAGCGUCUGGAAAGGCGUGCGAUACAGGGUGACAGCCCCGUACACAAAAAUGCACAUAUUGUGAGCUCGAUGAGUAGGGCGGGACACGUGGUAUCCUGUCUGAAUAUGGGGGGACCAUCCUCCAAGGCUAAAUACUCCUGACUGACCGAUAGUGAACCAGUACCGUGAGGGAAAGGCGAAAAGAACCCCGGCGAGGGGAGUGAAAAAGAACCUGAAACCGUGUACGUACAAGCAGUGGGAGCACGCUUAGGCGUGUGACUGCGUACCUUUUGUAUAAUGGGUCAGCGACUUAUAUUCUGUAGCAAGGUUAACCGAAUAGGGGAGCCGAAGGGAAACCGAGUCUUAACUGGGCGUUAAGUUGCAGGGUAUAGACCCGAAACCCGGUGAUCUAGCCAUGGGCAGGUUGAAGGUUGGGUAACACUAACUGGAGGACCGAACCGACUAAUGUUGAAAAAUUAGCGGAUGACUUGUGGCUGGGGGUGAAAGGCCAAUCAAACCGGGAGAUAGCUGGUUCUCCCCGAAAGCUAUUUAGGUAGCGCCUCGUGAAUUCAUCUCCGGGGGUAGAGCACUGUUUCGGCAAGGGGGUCAUCCCGACUUACCAACCCGAUGCAAACUGCGAAUACCGGAGAAUGUUAUCACGGGAGACACACGGCGGGUGCUAACGUCCGUCGUGAAGAGGGAAACAACCCAGACCGCCAGCUAAGGUCCCAAAGUCAUGGUUAAGUGGGAAACGAUGUGGGAAGGCCCAGACAGCCAGGAUGUUGGCUUAGAAGCAGCCAUCAUUUAAAGAAAGCGUAAUAGCUCACUGGUCGAGUCGGCCUGCGCGGAAGAUGUAACGGGGCUAAACCAUGCACCGAAGCUGCGGCAGCGACGCUUAUGCGUUGUUGGGUAGGGGAGCGUUCUGUAAGCCUGCGAAGGUGUGCUGUGAGGCAUGCUGGAGGUAUCAGAAGUGCGAAUGCUGACAUAAGUAACGAUAAAGCGGGUGAAAAGCCCGCUCGCCGGAAGACCAAGGGUUCCUGUCCAACGUUAAUCGGGGCAGGGUGAGUCGACCCCUAAGGCGAGGCCGAAAGGCGUAGUCGAUGGGAAACAGGUUAAUAUUCCUGUACUUGGUGUUACUGCGAAGGGGGGACGGAGAAGGCUAUGUUGGCCGGGCGACGGUUGUCCCGGUUUAAGCGUGUAGGCUGGUUUUCCAGGCAAAUCCGGAAAAUCAAGGCUGAGGCGUGAUGACGAGGCACUACGGUGCUGAAGCAACAAAUGCCCUGCUUCCAGGAAAAGCCUCUAAGCAUCAGGUAACAUCAAAUCGUACCCCAAACCGACACAGGUGGUCAGGUAGAGAAUACCAAGGCGCUUGAGAGAACUCGGGUGAAGGAACUAGGCAAAAUGGUGCCGUAACUUCGGGAGAAGGCACGCUGAUAUGUAGGUGAAGUCCCUCGCGGAUGGAGCUGAAAUCAGUCGAAGAUACCAGCUGGCUGCAACUGUUUAUUAAAAACACAGCACUGUGCAAACACGAAAGUGGACGUAUACGGUGUGACGCCUGCCCGGUGCCGG
rnacentral:rRNA from 1 species